UACGAAGGGGGCGAGCGUUGUUCGGAUUUACUGGGCGUAAAGGGCGCGCAGGCGGUUCUGUUUGUCGAGUGUGAAAGCCCCGGGCUCAACCUGGGAACUGCGCUCGAAACGGCGGAACUAGAGUUCGGGUGAGGAGAGUGGAAUUCCCAGUGUAGAGGUGAAAUUCGUAGAUAUUGGGAAGAACACCGGUGGCGAAGGCGGCUCUCUGGACCGAUACUGACGCUGAGGCGCGAAAGCGUGGGGAGCAAACAGG
rnacentral:rRNA from 1 species